rnacentral:rRNA from 1 species
ACGAACGCUGGCAGCGUGCUUAACACAUGCAAGUCGAACGGUGAAGCGCCUUCCUUUUUGGUGGGUGUGGAUGAGUGGCGAACGGGUGAGUAACACGUGAGUAACCUGCCCCCUUCUUCUGGAUAACCGCAUGAAAGUGUGGCUAAUACGGGAUAUUCUGGGUCUGUCGCAUGAUGGGUCUGGGAAAGAUAUUGUUUCGGUGGGGGAUGGGCUCGCGGCCUAUCAGCUUGUUGGUGGGGUGAUGGCCUACCAAGGCGGUGACGGGUAGCCGGCCUGAGAGGGUGGACGGUCACACUGGGACUGAGACACGGCCCAGACUCCUACGGGAGGCAGCAGUGGGGAAUAUUGCACAAUGGGCGCAAGCCUGAUGCAGCGACGCCGCGUGAGGGAUGGAGGCCUUCGGGUUGUGAACCUCUUUCGCCAGUGAAGCAGGCCUGCCUCGUUUGUGGGUGGGUUGACGGUAGCUGGAUAAGAAGCGCCGGCUAACUACGUG